GCCAGACUCCUACGGGAGGCAGCAGUGGGGGAUAUUGCACAAUGGGGGAAACCCUGAUGCAGCGACGCCGCGUGGGCGAAGAAGUAUUUCGGUAUGUAAAGCCCUAUCAGCAGGGAAGAAGAAAUGACGGUACCUGAGUAAGAAGCCCCGGCUAACUACGUGCCAGCAGCCGCGGUAAUACGUAGGGGGCAAGCGUUAUCCGGAUUCACUGGGUGUAAAGGGAGCGUAGACGGCGACGCAAGUCUGGAGUGAAAGCCCGGGGCCCAGCCCCGGGACUGCUCUGGAAACUGCGUCGCUGGAGUACGGGAGGGGCAGGCGGAAUUCCUGGUGUAGCGGUGAAAUGCGUAGAUAUCAGGAGGAACACCGGCGGAGAAGGCGGCCUGCCGGACUGCGACUGACGUUGAGGCCCGAAAGCGUGGGGAGCAAACAGGAUUAGAUACCCUCGUAA
rnacentral:rRNA from 1 species